GACGAACGCUGGCGGCGUGCCUAAUACAUCCAAGUCGAGCGGACGGAUGGGAGCUUGCUCCCAGACCGUCAGCGGCGGACGGGUGAGUAACACGUGGGCAACCUGCCUGUAAGACUGGGAUAACUCCGGGAAACCGGGGCUAAUACCGGAUAACUCUUUCCCUCACAUGAGGGAAAGCUGAAAGAUGGCAUCUCGCUAUCACUUACAGAUGGGCCCGCGGCGCAUUAGCUAGUUGGUGAGGUAACGGCUCACCAAGGCGACGAUGCGUAGCCGACCUGAGAGGGUGAUCGGCCACACUGGGACUGAGACACGGCCCAGACUCCUACGGGAGGCAGCAGUAGGGAAUCUUCCGCAAUGGACGAAAGUCUGACGGAGCAACGCCGCGUGAGUGAUGAAGGUUUUCGGAUCGUAAAACUCUGUUGUCAGGGAAGAACAAGUACCGGAGUAACUGCCGGUACCUUGACGGUACCUGACCAGAAAGCCACGGCUAACUACGUG
rnacentral:rRNA from 1 species